AUAGAAAUUGCCUAGGAUUUAGUCAAAAUGCAGAUUCUGGCUCAGAAUUUCUGGAAUCUGAGAUUCAACAGUUCUAACAAGUCCCCAGGUGAUACUGGU
rnacentral:miRNA from 1 species